rnacentral:rRNA from 1 species
GCAUAUCAAUAAGCGGAGGAAAAGAAACUAACAAGGAUUCCCCUAGUAGCGGCGAGCGAAGCGGGAAGAGCUCAAAUUUAUAAUCUGGCACCUUCGGUGUCCGAGUUGUAAUCUCUAGAAGUGUUUUCCGCGUUGGACCGCACACAAGUCUGUUGGAAUACAGCGGCAUAGUGGUGAGACCCCCGUAUAUGGUGCGGACGCCCAACGCUUUGUGAUACACUUUCGAAGAGUCGAGUUGUUUGGGAAUGCAGCUCAAAUUGGGUGGUAAAUUCCAUCUAAAGCUAAAUAUUGGCGAGAGACCGAUAGCGAACAAGUACCGUGAGGGAAAGAUGAAAAGCACUUUGGAAAGAGAGUUAACAGUACGUGAAAUUGUUGGAAGGGAAACGCUUGAAGUCAGACUUGCUUGCCGAGCAAUCGGUUUGCAGGCCAGCAUCAGUUUUCCGGGGUGGAUAAUGGUAGAGAGAAGGUAGCAGUUUCGGCUGUGUUAUAGCUCUUUGCUGGAUACACCUUGGGGGACUGAGGAACGCAGUGUGCCUUACGGCGGAUUUCUCGAGAUCUUCACACUUAGAUGCUGGUG